GCCCUCUUGGCUUAGUGGUAAAGCGUAUCACUAGUAGCACCAACAACUCCUCGAGUUGAUCCUGGUUCGGCAAAUGAUAAGAUCGCUAGUUCGAUUCUGGCAGAGGGCA